GAUGAAGAACGUAGCGAAAUGCGAUACGUAGUGUGAAUUGCAGAAUUCAGUGAAUCAUCGAAUCUUUGAACGCACAUUGCGCCCUUUGGUAUUCCAAAGGGCAUGCCUGUUCGAGCGUCAUUUGUACCCUCAAGCUUUGCUUGGUGUUGGGCGUCUUGUCUCCAGUCCGCUGGAGACUCGCCUUAAAGUCAUUGGCAGCCGGCCUACUGGUUUCGGAGCGCAGCACAAGUCGCACUCUUUUCCAGCCAAGGUCAGUGUCCAACAAGCCUUUUUUCAACUUUUGACCUCGGAUCAGGUAGGGAUACCCGCUGAACUUAAGCAUAUCAAUAAGCGGAAGA
rnacentral:misc_RNA from 1 species